rnacentral:misc_RNA from 1 species
UCUCCGUUGGUGAACCAGCGGAGGGAUCAUUACCGAGUCAUCAACUCCCAAACCCCUGUGAACAUACCCAACGUUGCUUCGGCGGGACCGCCCCGGCGCCCUCGGCGUCCCGGAACCAGGCGCCCGCCGGAGGACCCAAACUCUUGUUUAAACCAUAGUGGCAUAUUCUGAGUCUCACAAGAAAAAUGAAUCAAAACUUUCAACAACGGAUCUCUUGGCUCUG